UUAAAUUGAAGAGUUUGAUCAUGGCUCAGAUUGAACGCUGGCGGCAGGCCUAACACAUGCAAGUCGAGCGGUAGCACAGAGAGCUUGCUCUCGGGUGACGAGCGGCGGACGGGUGAGUAAUGUCUGGGAAACUGCCUGAUGGAGGGGGAUAACUACUGGAAACGGUAGCUAAUACCGCAUAAUGUCGCAAGACCAAAGUGGGGGACCUUCGGGCCUCAUGCCAUCAGAUGUGCCCAGAUGGGAUUAGCUAGUAGGUGGGGUAACGGCUCACCUAGGCGACGAUCCCUAGCUGGUCUGAGAGGAUGACCAGCCACACUGGAACUGAGACACGGUCCAGACUCCUACGGGAGGCAGCAGUGGGGAAUAUUGCACAAUGGGCGCAAGCCUGAUGCAGCCAUGCCGCGUGUGUGAAGAAGGCCUUCGGGUUGUAAAGCACUUUCAGCGGGGAGGAAGGCGUUAAGGUUAAUAACCUUGGCGAUUGACGUUACCCGCAGAAGAAGCACCGGCUAACUCCGUGCCAGCAGCCGCGGUAAUACGGAGGGUGCAAGCGUUAAUCGGAAUUACUGGGCGUAAAGCGCACGCAGGCGGUCUGUCAAGUCGGAUGUGAAAUCCCCGGGCUCAACCUGGGAACUGCAUUCGAAACUGGCAGGCUAGAGUCUUGUAGAGGGGGGUAGAAUUCCAGGUGUAGCGGUGAAAUGCGUAGAGAUCUGGAGGAAUACCGGUGGCGAAGGCGGCCCCCUGGACAAAGACUGACGCUCAGGUGCGAAAGCGUGGGGAGCAAACAGGAUUAGAUACCCUGGUAGUCCACGCCGUAAACGAUGUCGAUUUGGAGGUUGUGCCCUUGAGGCGUGGCUUCCGGAGCUAACGCGUUAAAUCGACCGCCUGGGGAGUACGGCCGCAAGGUUAAAACUCAAAUGAAUUGACGGGGGCCCGCACAAGCGGUGGAGCAUGUGGUUUAAUUCGAUGCAACGCGAAGAACCUUACCUGGUCUUGACAUCCACAGAACUUUCCAGAGAUGGAUUGGUGCCUUCGGGAACUGUGAGACAGGUGCUGCAUGGCUGUCGUCAGCUCGUGUUGUGAAAUGUUGGGUUAAGUCCCGCAACGAGCGCAACCCUUAUCCUUUGUUGCCAGCGGUUCGGCCGGGAACUCAAAGGAGACUGCCAGUGAUAAACUGGAGGAAGGUGGGGAUGACGUCAAGUCAUCAUGGCCCUUACGACCAGGGCUACACACGUGCUACAAUGGCAUAUACAAAGAGAAGCGACCUCGCGAGAGCAAGCGGACCUCAUAAAGUAUGUCGUAGUCCGGAUUGGAGUCUGCAACUCGACUCCAUGAAGUCGGAAUCGCUAGUAAUCGUAGAUCAGAAUGCUACGGUGAAUACGUUCCCGGGCCUUGUACACACCGCCCGUCACACCAUGGGAGUGGGUUGCAAAAGAAGUAGGUAGCUUAACCUUCGGGAGGGCGCUUACCACUUUGUGAUUCAUGACUGGGGUGAAGUCGUAACAAGGUAACCG
rnacentral:rRNA from 1 species